AAACUGCGAAACGUAAUGUGAUCUGCAGUCCUCGUGAAUCAUCAAAUCUUUGAACGCAUACUGCACCCUGUGGCAUUUGUCACUGGGUAUACUUGUUUGAGUAUCAUAUCAACUUCUCUCACCUUCUGUCUGGGGACAGGCCAAUGGGUGGAUUUGACUUUCUGAGGGCCAUGGGCACGGCCUCAGUUCGUUUAAAAGCAAGCCAGGCAAGUCUUGGCAUCAUGGUCUAGUGGGAUAACAUCCUAACAUUAGACCGUCAAGACUUGGAGCCAGGCAAAGCGUCGAGGGUGGUCAGCCUAACCAGCAGCCUUUGACAUAGAGGGACGCGGGGAGGGACGGGGAGGGCGACCUCUCUACACCCCCCACCCCCACCCCCUCUGCACUCAAGUUGAUCUCAAAU
rnacentral:misc_RNA from 1 species